UCCCUCUUAGCUCAGUGGUAGAGCGCGUCACUAGUAUACAUCGUUGGUGUAUGACGAGGUCAGUCGUUCAAGUCGGCUAGCGGGAA
rnacentral:tRNA from 1 species